rnacentral:tRNA from 1 species
GGCAGCGUAGCCAAGUGGGAAGGCGGCGGUCUGCAAAACCGCAAUGAAGGGGUUCGAUUCCCCUCGCUGCCU